rnacentral:rRNA from 1 species
UGCGAGUCGAGCGGACUUGAUGGAGUGCUUGCACUCCUGAAGGUUAGCGGCGGACGGGUGAGUAUCACGUAGUCAACCUGCCCUCAAGACUGGGAUAACUACCGGAAACGGUAGCUAAUUCCGGAUAAUUUAUUUUGCGGCAUUGUGAAAUAAUGAAAGGCGGAGCAAUCUGUCACUUGAGGAUGGGCCUGCGGCGCAUUAGCUAGUUGGUGGGGUAACGGCCCACCAAGGCGACGAUGCGUAGCCGACCUGAGAGGGCGCACGGCCACACUGGGACUGAGACAGGUCCAACUCUUAUACGGGAGGCAGCAGUAGGGAAUCUUCCGCAAUGGGCGAAAGCCUGACGGAGCAACGCCGCGUGAGUGAUGAAGGUUUUCGGAUCGUAAAGCUCUGUUGCCAAGGAAGAACGUCUUCUAGAGUAACUGCUAGGAGAGUGACGGUACUUGAGAAGAAAGCCCCGGCUAACUACGUGCCAGCAGCCGCGGUAAUACGUAGGGGGCAAGCGUUGUCCGGAAUUAUUGGGCGUAAAGCGCGCGCAGGCGGUUCUUUAAGUCUGGUGUUUAAACCCGAGGCUCAACUUCGGGUCGCACUGGAAACUGGGGAACUUGAGUGCAGAAGAGGAGAGUGGAAUUCCACGUGUAGCGGUGAAAUGCGUAGAUAUGUGGAGGAACACCAGUGGCGAAGGCGACUCUCUGGGCUGUAACUGACGCUGAGGCGCGAAAGCGUGGGGAGCAAACAGGAUUAGAUACCCUGGUAGUCCACGCCGUAACGAUGAAUGCUAGUGUUAGGGGUUUCGAUACCCUUGGUGCCGAAGUUAACACAUUAAGCAUUCCGCCUGGGGGAGUACGGUCGCAGACUGAACUCAAGGAAUUGACGGGGACCCGCACAAGCAGUGGAGUAUGUGGUUUAAUUCGAAGCACGCGAAGAACUUACCAAGUCUUGACAUCCC